AGGAGGACUAAUGUGGUAAAUGCAGAAGUUGUGAAGCAGCAAAGAAGCCGCUUCAGGACAAAAGAAUAAUCCUUGGAAACAAGACAUAUGAUUUAGAGCUAAGUCGGGAUAAGUAAUUAAUGCUGGCUUGUCUUGGUCUCCAUAGACUAUAACAGACACAGAACCACGGCCAGUUCUUACAUGAUAUUCCUUUCCACCUAGAUAGAUCUUCUCCAUAUCGACGGAAACGAAAUCCUUUGACUCUGCCAUGGCCGAGGCUCUUUCUCUGUCUCGACAAAGCCCCAACCUCAGAGCCCGCUCUCUCUCUCUCUCUCUCU
rnacentral:misc_RNA from 1 species